AUCUAAAUAGUUUAAUAAAAAUAUUGAUUUGUGGUGUCAAAGUUAUAGAUUUAUUUUAGAUU
rnacentral:tRNA from 1 species